GAUGAACGCUGGCGGCGUGCCUAAUACAUGCAAGUCGAGCGAACAGACGAGGAGCUUGCUCCUCUGACGUUAGCGGCGGACGGGUGAGUAACACGUGGAUAACCUACCUAUAAGACUGGGAUAACUUCGGGAAACCGGAGCUAAUACCGGAUAAUAUAUUGAACCGCAUGGUUCAAUAGUGAAAGACGGUUUUGCUGUCACUUAUAGAUGGAUCCGCGCCGCAUUAGCUAGUUGGUAAGGUAACGGCUUACCAAGGCAACGAUGCGUAGCCGACCUGAGGGGGUGAUCGGCCACACUGGAACUGAGACACGGUCCAGACUCCUACGGGAGGCAGCAAUAGGGAAUCUUCCGCAAUGGGCGAAAGCCUGACGGAGCAACGCCGCGUGAGUGAUGAAGGUCUUCGGAUCGUAAAACUCUGUUAUUAGGGAAGAACAAAUGUGUAAGUAACUAUGCACGUCUUGACGGUACCUAAUCAGAAAGCCACGGCUAACUACGUG
rnacentral:rRNA from 1 species